AGAGUUUAAUAAAAUCCAAAUAAUUUUAAUAAAAUCGAUUAAUCGACUUAAUUAUUUUGUUAUCGAGUUUUCGAUAAGCUUGCAAUUUUUUACUUUUUACUGAACCAGUCUGAUGUAAGAACGUCAGUGAUUUUUAGUUAGAUCUCUGCUAAUGCUUUUAUUUGCAGAAUCGGGGAGAAGAAUCUAUGGAUUCGAAGGAAAAUCCAGAGAGAUAUAAGGUGGGAGACGACGCCCGAUCUUCUUAUCGAUCAAUCUGUUGGCACCCUACUUACUCUACUUGUUUGAUUUUUUCAGGUCUUACUCCAUUCAUUGCUGGAGCUCAGCGUAUGGCUGCCGAUUGUUUAACUGAAUGCGGUAUGGCAACAAUACUUAUUUACAAGCAAGAUAAUUUAAAUAAUUACCACAGGCGAGAUCACUGCUAUGAAUUAGCACAUCAUUGGAGUUCUGUAGGUGAAUUCCAUCUGUAUUAGGACUGUCCCCAGGAGAUGAGACGGUAAUAUCGUGCACCACAACUCCCAUGCAAUUAUCGAACUUGAGAUGGCAUUGAGGACUGUUUUGAAUUGUUAUGCCCGUGACUGUCACGUUAAAACUCCCAUAAAACCUAAGUGCCUGUACAACGGAAGGAGAAACAUGAUUAAUUUACAGACAAUCAACAUAAAAUUCCAGGGGCAAGUGGAAACUGAAGUAGGUGAUUACCGGCAUUGGUGGCCUUUCUUGAACUGUGCUGUUUAAUGGAAUUAUGAGUUUUCUUUCAUCAUCAUAGGGAUCUUCAUAUGGGGCAUCUUGCCACCACCCUGAGCCUCUUCCAUCAAUGAUGCCUUUUCCUUGAAUUGCUAUACCUUUCAGCUUUGUAAAUUCAAGCCACUGUAGAAGACCUUUUCCCCAGGGUCGAGCAUCAGUCGGAGCAAUAAUUGUGCCAUGCAGCUGAGAAAAAAAAAACUCAGCCACAUCAGCCGUGAUCUAGCAUCAAUUCUUUACUACCACAACAAUCUCAAGGUGCAUCAGUAUGGACCAGAAAAUGAAAUGGGUCCUACAAGAAACACAAAUUCGGCUGGAACGACAACAGUUGAUGCCUCCACUUUACAUGCAGCUGCCCAUGUGUCUUGAAAUGCCUGCGUUGCAUCGUACUAAGUCAGGUUUGCAGCUAACGUGAUAAUAACUACAGGCAUAGAAUUACAGUUGAAUGGUGGUUAGCUGUUUGCUAUGGUAAUUAUUGCUCCAAUCACGUCUAAACUACCCUAAAGAGAAUCAUUCUUUAAUUUGGAGUGGCCCCGCGCAACUUUGGUUAGUUGUGCUCUGCACUCUUUUGUUUCUACCACAUUUUUUACUUGCUUUUCUUUGUUUCCGUAUAGGCUUUCUAUGCAUUUCAUAUGAUCAUAUUUUAACCAGUAAGUUCUGCUUUGCUAGCUAUUUUUUAAACUUUUCUACUGCAUUGCCCCCCUGAAAGUUCUUUUUCUCAAAAGUAAAAAACUGUCAACUUGCCUAUUGUAGCUUUAAUCAAACUUUAAUGGCCAAAAAAAUGAAUGGAAGUUUAAGAACUUCGAAUGCCCUCCUCUUCAAGUAACAAUGGUGAAUUAAUCCACAUAGUCCAUUUUGUUGUUUGAUUUGGUUGGGAAAAUAAUUAGUUUCAAGUAUUGUAGCUCUUUUUUGUGCAUGUGUUUUUGGUCAUAUUCCUAAAGUAAUAAAAAAUUCUUAGUAUUAAGCAACACAUUGAACAU